rnacentral:misc_RNA from 1 species
UUCUCUUGUGCUUGUUGCAUUUUUUUUUUAUAAGUUAUUGUGAAGUUAACAAUGAAAACCACUACUAAAUAGUAAUGGCCGGGUUUCUAACCAGCUUACAUUCAUCCUGUAUUUCCAUAUAUAAUUGAAACCAGCAGCUUUAGAGCUACAGAAAAAAAAAAAAAUGCAACAAGCACAAGAGAAUAGAGAUGCACUUGCAAACGCAUGAAAUUCACAAAUCAUAACAAGACAACGUAAUACAAGGUUCUUACAGAGAGUAAAGCAUUACUCUUUUGUGCACCUAUUGCUGAGGCAGAGAUAAACAUGAAUACACUACUCUUUCUUGUACCUCUUCUCCACCUCUUCCAAAUUUUGAAUCUCCUUGUAAUAUUUACAUAUGCGAUAGACACACCAGUAGAGCAAACAAGCUGAAGUGCAUAAAAUCACAUUCCUCUGAGCUUUGUAGAUCGAUUUCUCAUAGCGAUCCCUCUCAGCAGC